rnacentral:rRNA from 1 species
UCGCUCCUACCGAUUGAACGAUCCGGUGAAAUCUUUCGACCUGCGCCGAUGGAGGGUUCGCUCUCAUGUCGGCUCGGGGAAGUUGCUUAAACCUUAUCGUUUAGAGGAAGGAG